UGUUACUGUGUCACUAUACCCCACUCCCUCUAACAUGUAAACUCACUGAGCAGGGCCCUCAAUCCCUCUGUUACUGUGUCACUAUACCCCACUCCCUCUAACAUGUAAAUUCACUGAGCAGGGCCCUCAAUCCCUCUGUUACUGUGUCACUAUACCCCACUCCCUCUAACAUGUAAAUUCACUGAGCAGGGCCCUCAAUCCCUCUGUUACUGUGUCACUAUACCCCACU